rnacentral:rRNA from 1 species
UACGUAGGCGGCAAGCGUUGUCCGGAAUUAUUGGGCGUAAAGAGCUCGUAGGCGGUCUGUUGCGUCCGCUGUGAAAACCCAGGGCUUAACCCUGGGCUGGCAGUGGAUACGGACAGACUAGAGGUAGGUAGGGGAGAGUGGAAUUCCCGGUGUAGCGGUGAAAUGCGCAGAUAUCGGGAGGAACACCGGUGGCGAAGGCGGUUCUCUGGGACGGUACUGACGCUGAGACGCGAAAGCGUGGGGAGCGAACAGG